rnacentral:rRNA from 1 species
UACGUAGGGGGCAAGCGUUGUCCGGAAUCAUUGGGCGUAAAGCGCGUGUAGGCGGCUGAGUAAGUCUGCUCUGAAAGCCCGGGGCUCAACCCCGGGAGGCGGGUGGAUACUGCUCAGCUCGAGUCCGGAAGAGGAGUGUGGAAUUCCUGGUGUAGCGGUGAAAUGCGCAGAUAUCAGGAGGAACACCAAUGGCGAAGGCAGCACUCUGGGACGGUACUGACGCUGAGACGCGAAAGCG